GUCAGCAUGGCAUAGUGGUUUGGGUGCUGGACUACAACUCUAGAGACCAAGGUUCAAAUUCUUACUCAGCCA